rnacentral:rRNA from 1 species
GACGUAGGGGGCCAGCGUUGCUCGGAAUAACUGGGCGUAAAGGGUUCGUAGGCGGUGUGGCAAGUCGGGAGUGAAAUCCUGAGGCUUAACUUCAGGACUGCUUCCGAAACUGCCAUACUCGAGUGCGGGAGAGGCGAGUGGAAUUGCAGGUGUAGCGGUGAAAUGCGUAGAUAUCUGCAGGAACACCAGUGGCGAAAGCGGCUCGCUGGACCGCAACUGACGCUGAGGAACGAAAGCUAGGGUAGCGAACGGG